CACGUAGGGGGCAAGCGUUGUCCGGAAUCAUUGGGCGUAAAGAGCUCGUAGGCGGCUCAGUAAGUCGGGUGUGAAACCUCCAGGCUCAACCUGGAGACGCCACCCGAUACUGCUGUGGCUAGAGUCCAGUAGGGGAGUGUGGAAUUCCCGGUGUAGCGGUGAAAUGCGCAGAUAUCGUAAGGAAGACCAGUGGCGAAGGCGAGUCUCUGGACAGCAACUGACGCUGAGGCACGAAGGCCAGGGGAGCAAACGGG
rnacentral:rRNA from 1 species